rnacentral:piRNA from 1 species
UGGGAUAUCAAAACUUCCUAUGCAAAAAUGC